rnacentral:rRNA from 1 species
GUGGGGAAUAUUGGUCAAUGGCCGAGAGGCUGAACCAGCCAAGUAGCGUGCAGGAUGACGGCCCUAUGGGUUGUAAACUGCUUUUAUGCGGGGAUAAAGUAUGCCACGUGUGGCGUUUUGCAGGUACCGCAUGAAUAAGGACCGGCUAAUUCCGUGCCAGCAGCCGCGGUAAUACGGAAGGUCCGGGCGUUAUCCGGAUUCAUUGGGUUUAAAGGGAGCGCAGGCGGGAUGCUAAGCCAGCCGUCAAAUGUCGCCGCUCAACGGCGGAAAGCGGUUGGAACUGGUGUUCUUGGGUGCGUGAGAGGUAGGCGGAACUCGUGGUGUAGCGGUGAAAUGCAUAGAUAUCACGAAGAACUCCGAUUGCGAAGGCAGCCUACUGGUGCGUAACCGACGCUCAUGCUCGAAGGCGCGGGUAUCAAACAGG